UUGAUCCGGCUCAGAACGAACGUUGGCGGCGUGCUUAACACAUGCAAGUCGAACGAGAAAGUUCUCUUCGGAGAACGAGUAAAGUGGCGCACGGGUGUGUACCGCGUAAGUAAUCUACCCUUGCAUUUGGGAUAACUACGGGAAGCUGUAGCUAAUACCGGAUACGUUCAUNGAGUUACGACUCUAUGAAGAAAGAUGACCUCUUCUUGAAAGUUAUCGUGCAGGGAGGAGCUUGCGUACCAUCAGCUAGUUGGUAGGGUAAUGGCCUACCAAGGCGACGAUGGUUAGCGGGUCUGAGAGGAUGAUCCGCCACACUGGAACUGAAACACGGACCAGACUCCUACGGGAGGCAGCAGUGAGGAAUAUUGCGCAAUGGGGGAAACCCUGACGCAGCGACGCCGCGUGGAUGA
rnacentral:rRNA from 1 species